rnacentral:rRNA from 1 species
UACAGAGGUCUCAAGCGUUGUUCGGAUUCAUUGGGCGUAAAGGGUGCGUAGGUGGCGCGCUAAGUCAGGUGUGAAAUCUCGGGGCUUAACUCCGAAACUGCAUUUGAUACUGUCGUGCUUGAGGACUGGAGAGGAGACUGGAAUUUACGGUGUAGCAGUGAAAUGCGUAGAGAUCGUAAGGAAGACCAGUGGCGAAGGCGGGUCUCUGGACAGUUCCUGACGCUGAGGCACGAAGGUCAGGGGAGCAAACGGG